rnacentral:misc_RNA from 1 species
UCUCCGUUGGUGAACCAGCGGAGGGAUCAUUACCGAGUUUACAACUCCCAAACCCAAUGUGAACCAUACCAAACUGUUGCCUCGGCGGGGUCACGCCCCGGGUGCGUCGCAGCCCCGGAACCAGGCGCCCGCCGGAGGGACCAACCAAACUCUUUCUGUAGUCCCCUCGCGGACGUUAUUUCUUACAGCUCUGAGCAAAAAUUCAAAAUGAAUCAAAACUUUCAACAACGGAUCUCUUGGUUCUGGCAUCGAUGAAGAACGCAGC